GAUGAACGCUGGCGGCGUGCUUAACACAUGCAAGUCGAACGAAGCACUUAAGAUUGAUUCUUCGGAUGACGUCUUUUGUGACUUAGUGGCGGACGGGUGAGUAACGCGUGGGUAACCUGCCUCACACAGGGGGAUAACAGUUAGAAAUGACUGCUAAUACCGCAUAACCCGAUAGGAUCGCAUGAUCCAGACGGAAAAGAUUUAUCGGUGUGAGAUGGACCCGCGUCUGAUUAGCUAGUUGGUGAGGUAACGGCCCACCAAGGCGACGAUCAGUAGCCGGCGGGCGAGGGUGAACGGCCACAUUGGGACUGAGACACGGCCCAAACUCCUACGGGAGGCAGCAGUGGGGAAUAUUGCACAAUGGGGGAAACCCUGAUGCAGCGACGCCGCGUGAGUGAAGAAGUAUUUCGGUAUGUAAAGCUCUAUCAGCAGGGAAGAAAAUGACGGUACCUGACGAAGAAGCCCCGGCUAACUACGUG
rnacentral:rRNA from 1 species